rnacentral:rRNA from 1 species
UACGUAGGGCGCAAGCGUUGUCCGGAAUUAUUGGGCGUAAAGAGCUCGUAGGCGGUCUGUUGCGUCCGCUGUGAAAACUCGGGGCUUAACCCCGAGCCUGCAGUGGAUACGGGCAGACUAGAGGUAGGUAGGGGAGAAUGGAAUUCCCGGUGUAGCGGCGAAAUGCGCAGAUAUCGGGAGGAACACCGGUGGCGAAGGCGGUUCUCUGGGCCGUUCCUGACGCUGAGGAGCGAAAGCGUGGGGAGCGAACAGG